UCUUCCGUAGUAUAGUGGUCAGUAUGCAAGCUUGUCAAAAAACAAUACGCUUGAGACCCGGGUUCAAUUCCCGGCGGGAGAG
rnacentral:tRNA from 1 species